UGGGGAAUCUUGCACAAUGGGGGCAACCCUGAUGCAGCGACGCCGCGUGAGCGAUGAAGCCCUUCGGGGCGUAAAGCUCUUUCGACCGGAACGAUAAUGACGGUACCGGGAGAAGAAGCUGCGGCUAACUACGUGCCAGCAGCCGCGGUAAUACGUAGGCAGCAAGCGAUGUUCGGAGUUACUGGGCGUAAAGAGUGCGUAGGCGGUUUUCUAAGUUCGGUGUGAAAUCUCCCGGCUUAACUGGGAGGGUGCGCCGAAGACUGGGAAGCUGGAGUGUGGGAAAGGCAGGCGGAAUUCCUGGUGUAGCGGUGAAAUGCGUAGAUAUCAGGAGGAACACCGGCGGUGUAGACGGCUUGCUAGACCAUAACUGACGCUGAGGCACGAAAGCGUGGGUAGCAAACA
rnacentral:rRNA from 1 species